AAAAAAAGAGUAGUAUAAACCAAAACCAAAACAGUUGUCACUCAAACAUCAGGAUUAAGGAUGCAUGUUACAUUCUAUCAGGACACAGUCAAUGAAUUAUUUUUCACCUUUGAACAGGGCACAACAUAAUGAGGCAACACUUAUUCUGGAUGUUGAAACUAGUGAAAAGAACAAGUGGCCUUGUUUUAUCAUGAGGCCCAUACAAAAUACUGGCCCCCCAACAGCCUUUAGAAUAAAGAUUGUAUGGAAAGCUGCCUGAUCUGAAAAGAAUGGAGUUCAUCUUCGAUAAAUAUAUAUAUAUAUAUAUCUGAACCCUACAAUUUAUAAUGAGAACACAGAGAAAAAAAAAACGCAAACAGUGGUGAUUUUAUUGUUUACCAUGGAGUUGUCUACUUUUCAAAUUUUACUGACCAAGUUUGUACAGUGACUGAUCCAUCUGCAGUUUCCGAACCAGUAACUGAUAUCUCAAAAAAAUAUUGCUAUACUGAUGGUGUCUGUCACCUCAGGGGAAUUAUGCAUUGAGUGAAGACAUCUUGCUGUAGAAGAGAAGAACAAUUCAGAUAGUUCACAUGAUUUACAAUAUGGCUUUGAUUGUCUUAUGUUAAUGGCUGGUAAAGAACUGAAACAUGUAGGCUGGAGAUCACUUGAUAGAAAUCAAGAAAUCUCUGAUCUACAUUGUAUGAGAAAAUCAUGAAGUGGUUGUUGUCAUUGAUCCAGAAACUAAGUUGCAAUCUGUCUUGAUAAAUAUAUCAUACAGAUUUGAUGGUGGCCUAUUCAACCCGAGGCGGCUUAAAGCAAAAACAAAAACAAAUGCAGCAGUAAUCAGAGACUUGCUAUUUGCUGACCACUGUGCCCUAAAUGCCUGCUCUGAAAACAAUCUGCAGAUCAUCGUCAGUGACUUCUCAAGAGCAUGCUCAGACUUUGGCCUUACCAUCAAUACGAACAAGACUGAAGUCUUAUAUCUACCUGCUCCUGGGAAAGCCUACUCGGAUCCAAGCAUUACUAUAAAUGGACAGGAUAUGAAUGCAGUGGACAAAUUCACAUAUAUUGGCAGCACACUCUCCAGAAAUGGAAAAAUCGAUAGUGAAAUCGACCUGCGUAUCGCCAAGGCCAGUGCAUCCUACGGCAGACUGUCUACAAAUGUCUGGAACAGACGUGGUAUCACCACAAACACCAAGCUAGGGGUCUAUAGAGCCGUCAUCCUCCCUACAUUGCUAUAUGCCUCAGAAACAUGGACAGUGUACAGUAAACAUGCAAAGAAACUAAACCACUUCCACAUGACAUGUCUGAGAAAAAUACUAAAUGUCAAAUAGCAAGACAAAAUACCAGAUACAGAAGUCCUUCGAAGAGCGUGUCUGCAAAGCAUCCACACAAUCCUGAUGCAGUCCCAGCUGCGAUGGGCAGGUCACAUCUACAGAAUGGAAGACCACCGCAUCCCUAAACGACUCCUGUAUGGCCAACUAAGCGAAGGAAAGCGCUCGCAAGGUGGUCAAAGAAAGCGCUUCAGGGACACCCUCAAAGCUUCUCUGAAGGCGUUCAGCAUAGACCCAGGCACCUGGGAGACAGAGGCACAUGACAGAGCAUCAUGGCAUCGCGCUGCGAAAACUGGCGCACAGGUUGCUGGGGAAAAAAGAACAACGCUGGCAGAAGAAAAAUGCCAGAAAAGAAAAGCAAGGCCCACGACACUAGCUCCAGCUGGAAUAACCUGCCCAGUGUGCGGCCGAACAUUCCGGGCUCACAUAGGUCUCACCAGCCACAUGAGGAGGCAUAAAACCCCAGUGCAAAGCCCUCAGCCCCCUGGAUGACAAAGUGGUCAUCAUCGAACCACGAUGGACGAACUAUAAGUUGCAAUCUGUCUUGAUGUUUAGUCACUUUGGGAGCAGUGAUCUUGAGAUUUCGAUGCUAGAUACUCUCAGAUUUGAAAGCCGGUAUCUAGGAUAUUUUCUUAGCUCCUCUAGAUCAAGAUGGCAAAGAACUUUAUAAGGAUAGGUCUCCCAUCCAUCACACAACAUUCAAGCACCAAUGGGUUUCUUUCAAGGAGUUGAAGAUAAGGUAGUUCCCCUUAACGAAGCUGAGAUGAGGCAGUUAAAGCAAAAGGACUGCAAUGUUUGUUUCUAGGACCAGACACAAGAGAAUUCCACAACAUAUGUAUCAGAAGAUCAAAAUCAGAAACUGAAAUCUGCCCAUUUGGAGUGUCACCAGAGAAUGCUGACCAUCUCCUCCAAAACUGCUCUCUUUACCAAGAGGCUGUACAUGACACUGGCCCCAAAACACCCCAAUAGAAAGAAAACUAUAUGGAGAGUUCCCUGAUUUGGAAACCACUAAGAAAAUAAUCUCAUAUACUGGUCCAGUCAUCUGAAUGCUCCAAUAAAAAAAUAAGAAGAAAGAAGAUUGGAAGCAACAUGGCUAUCAAAAAGCAGAGACGAUACAAACCUCAUUAGAUGGAGAGUUUUAUUUUGUUGCUAAAGUCCUUGGUUUUGAGCCAGCAGAGAAACAUAGAAAGGGCCGUACACAUAUAUGUAAAAUACAUGCUAGAUCUAUGAGUGUAGAGAAAGAUAUUCAUUAUGAGCUGCUGGCUAGAUUAUGCCCAAACAGUACAGGAGCGGAAAUUCGUAGUGUUGGCACAGAAGCUGGAAUGUUUGCUAUCAGGGCUCAUAGGAAGAUGGCUACAGAGAAAUAUUUUCUGGAAGCAGUAAAUAAAGUCAUCAAAGCCUACGCCAAAUCUAGUGCAACUCCUUGCUACAUGACUGACAAUGAAAUCAAUAGUAGCUUGAUAGAAAUGGCUACUAGAUAAUCAGUACAGAACUUGUGUUUACUCACU